GAUGAACGCUGGCGGCGUGCCUAAUACAUGCAAGUCGAGCGAACGGACGAGAAGCUUGCUUCUCUGAUGUUAGCGGCGGACGGGUGAGUAACACGUGGAUAACCUACCUAUAAGACUGGGAUAAUUUCGGGAAACCGGAGCUAAUACCGGAUAAUAUUUUGAACCGCAUGGUUCAAAAGUGAAAGACGGUCUUGCUGUCACUUAUAGAUGGAUCCGCGCUGCAUUAGCUAGUUGGUAAGGUAACGGCUUACCAAGGCAACGAUGCAUAGCCGACCUGAGAGGGUGAUCGGCCACACUGGAACUGAGACACGGUCCAGACUCCUACGGGAGGCAGCAGUAGGGAAUCUUCCGCAAUGGGCGAAAGCCUGACGGAGCAACGCCGCGUGAGUGAUGAAGGUCUUCGGAUCGUAAAACUCUGUUGUUAGGGAAGAACAUAUGUGUAAGUAACUGUGCACAUCUUGACGGUACCUAAUCAGAAAGCCACGGCUAACUACGUG
rnacentral:rRNA from 1 species